UUACACAUGCAAGUCGAACGGAUCACUGGUCUUCGGGCUGGUGGUGAGUGGCGGACGGGUGAGUAACACGUGGGUAACCUGCCCUUGGCUCUGGGAUAACUCCGGGAAACCGGGGCUAAUACCGGAUAUGACUUCGGCCCGCAUGGGUUGGGGUGGAAAGUUUUUCGGCCAGGGAUGGGCCCGCGGCCUAUCAGCUUGUUGGUGGGGUGAUGGCCUACCAAGGCGUUGACGGGUAGCCGGCCUGAGAGGGCGACCGGCCACACUGGGACUGAGACACGGCCCAGACUCCUGCGGGAGGCAGCAGUGGGGAAUAUUGCGCAAUGGGCGAAAGCCUGACGCAGCGACGCCGCGUGGGGGAUGACGGCCUUCGGGUUGUAAACCUCUUUCAGCAGGGACGAAGCGAAAGUGACGGUACCUGCAGAAGAAGCACCGGCCAACUACGUGCCAGCAGCCGCGGUA
rnacentral:rRNA from 1 species